rnacentral:rRNA from 1 species
UAGGGAAUCUUCGGCAAUGGACGGAAGUCUGACCGAGCAACGCCGCGUGAGUGAAGAAGGUUUUCGGAUCGUAAAGCUCUGUUGUUAGAGAAGAACGUUGGUAGGAGUGGAAAAUCUACCAAGUGACGGUAACUAACCAGAAAGGGACGGCUAACUACGUGCCAGCAGCCGCGGUAAUACGUAGGUCCCGAGCGUUAAUCGGAUUUACUGGGCGUAAAGCGUGCGUAGGCGGCUUCUUAAGUCGGAUGUGAAAUCCCUGAGCUUAACUUAGGAAUUGCAUUCGAUACUGGGAAGCUAGAGUAUGGGAGAGGAUGGUAGAAUUCCAGGUGUAGCGGUGAAAUGCGUAGAGAUCUGGAGGAAUACCGAUGGCGAAGGCAGCCAUCUGGCCUAAUACUGACGCUGAGGUACGAAAGCAUGGGGAGCAAACAGG